CCUACGGGUGGCUGCAGUGGGGAAUAUUGCACAAUGGGCGCAAGCCUGAUGCAGCCAUGCCGCGUGUGUGAAGAAGGCCUUCGGGUUGUAAAGCACUUUCAGCGGGGAGGAAGGCGUUAAGGUUAAUAACCUUGGCGAUUGACGUUACCCGCAGAAGAAGCACCGGCUAACUCCGUGCCAGCAGCCGCGGUAAUACGGAGGGUGCAAGCGUUAAUCGGAAUUACUGGGCGUAAAGCGCACGCAGGCGGUCUGUCAAGUCGGAUGUGAAAUCCCCGGGCUCAACCUGGGAACUGCAUUCGAAACUGGCAGGCUAGAGUCUUGUAGAGGGGGGUAGAAUUCCAGGUGUAGCGGUGAAAUGCGUAGAGGUCUGGAGGAAUACCGGUGGCGAAGGCGGCCCCCUGGACAAAGACCGACGCUCAGGUGCGAAAGCGUGGGGAGCAAACAGGAUUAGAUACCCCAGUAGUC
rnacentral:rRNA from 1 species